UACGGAGGGUGCGAGCGUUGUCCGGAAUCACUGGGCGUAAAGGGCGCGUAGGCGGCCUGAUAAGUAGGGGGUGAAAUCCUGCGGCUUAACCGCAGGGCUGCCUUCUAAACUGUCAGGCUAGAGCACAGUAGAGGCAGGUGGAAUUCCCGGUGUAGCGGUGGAAUGCGCAGAUAUCAGGAGGAACACCGGUGGCGAAGGCGGGUCUCUGGGCAGUAACUGACGCUGAGAAGCGAAAGCGUGGGGAGCAAACAGG
rnacentral:rRNA from 1 species